GUGCUCACUUCAGCAGCACAUAUAUUGAAAUUGGAACAAUACAGAGAUUAUCAUGGCCCCUGUGCAAGGAUGACAGGCAAAUUUGUGAAGCAUUCCAUAUUUAA